rnacentral:lncRNA from 10 species
GUAAAGGAAAUACGUGAACAUUUGUUGAUUAUUAAUAUGGUUUGGCUGUGUCCCCACCAAAUCUCAACUUAAAUUGUAUCUCCCAGAAUUCCCACAUGUCACAGGAGGGACCCAGGUGGAGGUAAUUGAAUCGUGGUCGGGCGGGGGGGAAGGGGGUGGUCUUGCCGUGCUGUUCUCGUGAUAGUGAGUACCUCUCACGAGAUCUGAUGAGUUUAUCAGGAGUUUCCGCUUUUGCUUCUUCCUCAUCGUCUCUUGCCGCUGCCAUGAAAGGAGUGCUUUUUGCCUCCCACCAUGAUUCUGAGGCCUCCCCAGCCAUGUAGAAUUAGCCAGCCUGUUUUUGAUGAAGAGCAACUGUACUGGAGAGAAAGCCUGUAUUCAUAUUCAUCGUCAUCAGGCAAAUCGAGGAGCUGACUUGCUUAGGAUCACUGGGACCAUCUCAUAAUGUUUGUGUACAUUCCUGUUGUCUUCUACCUCCCAUCCACCGUGUCUCUCUACUGCCUAUAACCAGCCUACAUAAGGCCCUGAACAGACUGGAUGAUGCCCACCCACACGGAUGAAGGGCGGAUGUUGUUUACUCAGUCUGCUGAUUCCAACGCUAAUCUUUUCCAGAAACACCAUCACAGACACACCGAGAAAUAAUGCUUUAUCACCUAUGUGGGCAUUCUUGAGCCCAAUCAAGUUGCCACAUGAAAUUUACCAUCACACCUACCUGUCCACCUCUGCCCACACCUACUUUAAGUUUAACCCAAUAAUAAAUGAGACUUAAUCUCAUUUUUAGAGCCCUCCAAUGAAAAAUUUGUUAUUGUACUUCAUAAGACUUUUUGAUAUUUAACAGGUCUCAAGAAAGAUUUUUUUUGGCAAAAGCCAUACUUACACAAAGAAGACAUGGGUUUUAGACUGACUUUGGCCCUUUCUACCUGUAGGGUCACAUACUUUCACAAUAUGGACAAAAUGAUGCUACUGUGCCUUUCCCACAGGAUUGCUGUAUAAAUCAUUUGUGAAUUCUAAGAUUAUUGAGAUGAUUAUGCUUAUGAAUAUCUUAUUAUAUAAUAACUUUUCCCAUUUUAAAAAGAAUUGCAUUUAUAGACAUAAAUGACUAAGGUGGCUUUUAAAAUUCCCGAAGAAAAUCUUUUUAGAUAUAUACCAUUCUAAUGACUUGUAUUUAUUAGACAAGUCUGGAUUUAAAAAUGGGAGUUUAUAGUCAUUUAAGCCAACUAAUAAUAAUAUCUAAGGAGCCUGGAUGAGUAAAGACUCUUCAAUUCACAGUCAAAUGCCAAGUGAGGCUUAUAUUUUCGUUAGGAAAGUUUCGCCAGGGUGAUUGUUUUAAUUACUUUUAUUGGAAUAACAGUAGCUAAUAAAGCAAUCCAGAUUGUUACCAAGCUCAGUAGGAGAGAAAAUAAUAGGAUGUCUUCACAUCUUAUGACUAGAAAUCAUGUCCUCAGAUACUUUGUUUCUUCCUCUUUCAUUGUGGUGUGAAAAGUAGAAAGAAAGCUCCCCUCUGCAGGGGAAGUUUUAUAGAGAUGGUAACCUGGUUAUACUCUGUCUUUUAGGAAUCCUUGCAGAGUUGGGAAUAGCACAUUUCUCACUAUAUAUAUAUAUAUAUAUAUAUAUAUAUAUAUAUAUAUAAUAUAUAUAUGGUAAUUUUUGUGUGGAUUUAUAUUACCUUUGAUCCCCAGACAUUGUUUGAAAAACUUGAGGAAGGAGGAAAAAGAAUCAGAUGGUGACGGAACUCAUGUGGCUGACUGAG